ACUAGAAGCCGAUGAAGGACGUUACUAACGACGAUAUGCUUUGGGGAGCUGUAAGUAAGCUUUGAUCCAGAGAUUUCCGAAUGGGGAAACCCAGCAUGAGUUAUGUCAUGUUAUCGAUAUGUGAAUACAUAGCAUAUCAGAAGGCACACCCGGAGAACUGAAACAUCUUAGUACCCGGAGGAAGAGAAAGAAAAUUCGAUUCCCUUAGUAGCGGCGAGCGAAACGGGAAGAGCCCAAACCAACAAGCUUGCUUGUUGGGGUUGUAGGACACUCUAUACGGAGUUACAAAGGACGACAUUAGACGAAUCAUCUGGAAAGAUGAAUCAAAGAAGGUAAUAAUCCUGUAGUCGAAAAUGUUGUCUCUCUUGAGUGGAUCCUGAGUACGACGGAGCACGUGAAAUUCCGUCGGAAUCUGGGAGGACCAUCUCCUAAGGCUAAAUACUCUCUAGUGACCGAUAGUGAACCAGUACCGUGAGGGAAAGGUGAAAAGCACCCCGGAAGGGGAGUGAAAUAGAACCUGAAACCGUGUGCUUACAAGUAGUCAGAGCCCGUUAAUGGGUGAUGGCGUGCCUUUUGUAGAAUGAACCGGCGAGUUACGAUUUGAUGCAAGGUUAAGCAGUAAAUGUGGAGCCGUAGCGAAAGCGAGUCUGAAUAGGGCGUUUAGUAUUUGGUCGUAGACCCGAAACCAGGUGAUCUACCCUUGGUCAGGUUGAAGUUCAGGUAACACUGAAUGGAGGACCGAACCGACUUACGUUGAAAAGUGAGCGGAUGAACUGAGGGUAGCGGAGAAAUUCCAAUCGAACCUGGAGAUAGCUGGUUCUCUCCGAAAUAGCUUUAGGGCUAGCCUCAAGUGAUGAUUAUUGGAGGUAGAGCACUGUUUGGACGAGGGGCCCCUCUCGGGUUACCGAAUUCAGACAAACUCCGAAUGCCAAUUAAUUUAACUUGGGAGUCAGAACAUGGGUGAUAAGGUCCGUGUUCGAAAGGGAAACAGCCCAGACCACCAGCUAAGGUCCCAAAAUAUAUGUUAAGUGGAAAAGGAUGUGGCGUUGCCCAGACAACUAGGAUGUUGGCUUAGAAGCAGCCAUCAUUUAAAGAGUGCGUAAUAGCUCACUAGUCGAGUGACACUGCGCCGAAAAUGUACCGGGGCUAAACAUAUUACCGAAGCUGUGGAUUGUCCUUUGGACAAUGGUAGGAGAGCGUUCUAAGGGCGUUGAAGCAUGAUCGUAAGGACAUGUGGAGCGCUUAGAAGUGAGAAUGCCGGUGUGAGUAGCGAAAGACGGGUGAGAAUCCCGUCCACCGAUUGACUAAGGUUUCCAGAGGAAGGCUCGUCCGCUCUGGGUUAGUCGGGUCCUAAGCUGAGGCCGACAGGCGUAGGCGAUGGAUAACAGGUUGAUAUUCCUGUACCACCUAUAAUCGUUUUAAUCGAUGGGGGGACGCAGUAGGAUAGGCGAAGCGUGCGAUUGGAUUGCACGUCUAAGCAGUAAGGCUGAGUAUUAGGCAAAUCCGGUACUCGUUAAGGCUGAGCUGUGAUGGGGAGAAGACAUUGUGUCUUCGAGUCGUUGAUUUCACACUGCCGAGAAAAGCCUCUAGAUAGAAAAUAGGUGCCCGUACCGCAAACCGACACAGGUAGUCAAGAUGAGAAUUCUAAGGUGAGCGAGCGAACUCUCGUUAAGGAACUCGGCAAAAUGACCCCGUAACUUCGGGAGAAGGGGUGCUCUUUAGGGUUAACGCUCAGAAGAGCCGCAGUGAAUAGGCCCAAGCGACUGUUUAUCAAAAACACAGGUCUCUGCUAAACCGUAAGGUGAUGUAUAGGGGCUGACGCCUGCCCGGUGCUGGAAGGUUAAGAGGAGUGGUUAGCUUCUGCGAAGCUACGAAUCGAAGCCCCAGUAAACGGCGGCCGUAACUAUAACGGUCCUAAGGUAGCGAAAUUCCUUGUCGGGUAAGUUCCGACCCGCACGAAAGGCGUAACGAUUUGGGCACUGUCUCAACGAGAGACUCGGUGAAAUCAUAGUACCUGUGAAGAUGCAGGUUACCCGCGACAGGACGGAAAGACCCCGUGGAGCUUUACUGUAGCCUGAUAUUGAAAUUCGGCACAGCUUGUACAGGAUAGGUAGGAGCCUUUGAAACGUGAGCGCUAGCUUACGUGGAGGCGCUGGUGGGAUACUACCCUAGCUGUGUUGGCUUUCUAACCCGCACCACUUAUCGUGGUGGGAGACAGUGUCAGGCGGGCAGUUUGACUGGGGCGGUCGCCUCCUAAAAGGUAACGGAGGCGCUCAAAGGUUCCCUCAGAAUGGUUGGAAAUCAUUCAUAGAGUGUAAAGGCAUAAGGGAGCUUGACUGCGAGACCUACAAGUCGAG
rnacentral:rRNA from 1 species